UACAGAGGUGGCAAGCGUUGUUCGGAAUUACUGGGCGUAAAGGGUUCGUAGGUGGCCAACUAAGUCAGACGUGAAAUCCCUCAGCUUAACUGGGGAACUGCGUCUGAGACUGGAUGGCUUGAGUGCAGGAGAGGAACGCGGAAUUCCAGGUGUAGCGGUGAAAUGCGUAGAUAUCUGGAGGAACACCGGUGGCGAAGGCGGCGUUCUGGACUGCAACUGACACUGAGGAACGAAAGCCAGGGGAGCAAACGGG
rnacentral:rRNA from 1 species